rnacentral:rRNA from 1 species
CCCUGCCAUUUGUACACACCGCCCGUCGCUCCUACCGAUGAAUGGUCCGGUGAGGACUCAGGACGACCUCAGGAUCUGGCCUUGUGCCACCCUGAUUGUGCCGGAAUCUGUUCAAACCUUAUCAUUUAAAGGAAGGAGAAGUCGUAACAA